AGCCGAGCGGUAUUGAUUCUUCGGAAUUAAGAGAGCGGCGUACGGGUGCGUAACACGUGUGCAACCUACCUUUAUCUGGGGAAUAGCCUUCCGAAAGGGAGAUUAAUACCCCAUAAUAUAUUGAAUGGCAUCAUUUGAUAUUGAAAACUCCGGUGGAUAGAGAUGGGCACGCGCAAGAUUAGAUAGUUGGUGAGGUAACGGCUCACCAAGUCAUUGAUCUUUAGGGGUCCUGAGAGGGAGAUCCCCCACACUGGUACUGAGACACGGACCAGACUCCUACGGGAGGCAGCAGUGAGGAAUAUUGGACAAUGGGUGAAAGCCUGAUCCAGCCAUCCCGCGUGAAGGAUGACGGUCCUAUGGAUUGUAAACUUCUUUUGUAUAGGAAUAAACCUCUCUACGUGUAGAGAGCUGAAGGUACUAUACGAAUAAGCACCGGCUAACUCCGUGCCAGCAGCCGCGGUAAUACGGAGGGUGCGAGCGUUAUCCGGAUUUAUUGGGUUUAAAGGGUCCGCAGGCGGGCCGAUAAGUCAGUGGUGAAAUCUCAUAGCUCAACUAUGAAACUGCCGUUGAUACUGUCGGUCUUGAGUAAAUUAGAGGUAGCUGGAAUAAGUAGUGUAGCGGUGAAAUGCAUAGAUAUUACUUAGAACAUCAAUUGCGAAGGCAGGUUACCAUGAUUUAACUGACGCUGAGGGACGAAAGCGUGGGGAGCGAACAGGAUUAGAUACCCUGGUAGUCCACGCCGUAAACGAUGCUAACUCGUUUUUGGGACGCAAGUCUCAGAGACCAAGCGAAAGUGAUAAGU
rnacentral:rRNA from 1 species